AGCGCAGAGGGAGACGGCGGCAUGAGGCGCGGGUGAGCCAAGACACGAAGAAGCAGGACUGGGGGUAAUGAAAACGACUUUUUCGCGGAGGUCGCCGAUAUUCAAAGCGCUGCCCUUAGGGAAGCCGGAGGUGGCGCGAGGCGGGGCCAGCCGCCGCCACGUUCCACCCCUCGGGGCGCGGCGAACAGAUCCGUCCCCGUGGCAACGGAGAGAGUAUGUGCGCGCGCGGCCCGCUCAAGCCGCCGGCGGGGCGGCCAUGUCGUUGCUGAGCGGGCCCCGGCCGCGGCUCCGCGGCGCUGCCAGGAAGGGACCGAGGAAGGCUACGGCGGCCAAGCGGGAUUGGGACAGUACUGUCCACGAUUUGACGGUUCACCGUGCCACUCCUGAGGACAUCCUGCGUCGCCAUGAAAUACACAAAUCAAAAAACAAGGCACUGGCACUUCUGGAACUGCAAGAGAAGGCACAGAGAAGAAAGUGGAAGAAGCAAAAACAGCUGGCCCCUGAUUCCUUGGAGAAAAGGAAAUUGGCUCUGAUGCAUGAGAUUCUGUCUGAUCAAUAUGAUUUGCAAGAUGUGUUGAAACGAUCUGAUCAGGUUAUGGCUGUGGUAAAAGACUUGGUUGGGAAUGCCCCUCGCACGCGAACAGGUUUCCCUAAUGUAACAAUGGCUCCUAACUGUGACUUAGAAUCGUCUCAGGGACCCAUUGUACAAAAAUGGGAACCUCCCACCCAGCUUUCCAUCCUUAGUGAAUCUGUCAUGGAUUCCCAGGCCCUUAAUGAAGGGGGAGAAGAGGAGGCAUUAUCCAUAUUCCAAUCAGAAAAUGGACAGCAUGAAUCUCUGAAUUUCAAAUCCAGUAUCAGUUGUGACAGGCUACUUCAUAUAUUGAGAGAAGAAAAUUCCUCAGCGAAUUCUGAGUUGUGGGCUGAAAGGGAUUUGAGAAAAACUACUGUAUCACAGGAAAUACCUUUGACUCCAACAAUUGCAUCUUCAUCAUUGGAACAUUCAGCCCUCAAUGCUUCCAGCGUAGUCAAGAGAAUCCAUUCAGGACAUCAGAAUCAAGAUGAAGAAGAGACUGUAGACUCUGCGUAUACUGUGAGACAAGUGCUGAACCCAAACUCAAGAAAAGAAAAGCAAAUUUCAGCAAAAAUGAAAAGGAAACAAACUGCACAGAACUCUGCAAGGCAGAGGAGAGAUGAUUCUCCUGCUUAUUCGAUCCCCGUGGACCUUCAGAGGGACAAUAAAUCCAGCCUAGAUGUUCUCAGCUGCAUGAUACACGAAGUGGAGCAUGAAUUAGAGGAAUAUGAGCGAUGUACAGGCCGUGAGGUUAAAAAAAUGCAGAAAAGUGAAGGCCUCACUGGAUUUACCUUGUCACUGGUGAAUGCUCUCUGUCGUUUGAUGCGCUACCUCAAAGAGAGUGAAGUGCAACUGCAUGAGAAAGAGAUGAUGAGGCAACAUCAUGAAGAGAUGUUGAAUGAGCACAGAGAACUAAUUGAUGCUCUGACUGCGGAAAUACUUCUCGUAAGGGAAGAAAACAUUGCUAUACAGAAAAAGCUUCAGCAGUACGUGGUUGAAACAGAUGAAAAGAUGACCUUUCUCACACAAGCAUUUAAGGGCCUCCCUUUGGUAGAACCUAGAAGAGAAGAAAGUCCAUGCCAUUUUGGAACUGCACACAAAAGUCCAUCUUACACCCAAGAAAAACCUGAUUUGAGCUAUUUUGAAUCCAGGACUGAUGAAGGCAAGAGGAAGAAUAUGCUGAAAUUCCCACAGGAAGAACACCCUGUCAAGUUUCCUCAGAGGCCCUGUGCCCCAGGUGAUGCGGCAGCAGGUAGAAGCUUGCCAGCUCAGGUCUUCCAGCCAGCUGUACUGUUGUCACCGCCCCGGCAGAAGAACAGUCCGGAAUUGUCUCCCCUCCAGAACAUAUAUACAACCAUUUCUCAGUCUACUGAAAACGCUGAGAGAGAACUGUGCAAGGAGAGGAGCUCACCUUCCCCCCUGAGAACGUGGAGCGUGGCUGAAGAAAACUGUCUCAUGUCUCAAAGGCAACCAGUUCCUCCUGCAGACAAAGACUUGCAGAGCUCCCGAGAGAAAAUCAGUUUUUCCUGCCCUGGUGACACUACCAAAAACGACACAGUUGGAGAGUUGUCUCAAAGCAGUGAUCUGCUGGGACAGAUAGCUGAGCUCACACGGCAGAACUCAAUAAUUAAAGCUCAGCUGAGCAAAUUCAGAAGCUUCUCUGAAGACGUAAGUGACUGUCUGCCUCAGCCAGACCCAAUGCAAAAUUCAAACUCUUGUCCAGACUCUUCACAAGGGCAGGCUCAUCGUGUGGUACCGAAGAGCUUGGAGGAAAGAAUAGCAGAACUGAAUCGUCAGAGCACAGAAGCACGUGAUAAACUGCUGCAGCUAAUAGAUCAGCAGAAAUUAGCUGCUGCUGAUACAGUCUCUCAGAGAAUACCUCCUGUUCUGUCCCCAGCCCGAAGUUAUACUGAAGAUGCAAGGAGGACAAUUGAAGUGUCUGUUCCUGUGGCAGCUUCUGUGGACAGCUCCAAAGAAGAUAGUGUUUCCCCUGGCAGUGUGACCAGUAUGAGAAGGUCCGUAGGAGGUUCUAGCAAACCUUCUUCACCCCUGAGUACCACAUCAGAAAGUGUGACAUUAAAUCCUGUCAGUCAGAGGCCAAAGGUAAGACUGAAAAAUCUUCAGCCAGAAGGCUUGAUUGCUGUGCUACAUGAAUAGAAUGUAAGACAGAUAUAAAGGAGGGAGGGACCUGGUCCUACUUUGAAUGUACUGAUGCUAACGGUAAUCGAUUCAUAGCAGUCUGGAUUCUGGAUAACUGAUAAGGGGAGGCCUGAGUGCUAGUGACAUGAGUUGUUCACUACCACAGAGCUGUUACUUACAAGUGAGUAUUCCUGUAACUAUGUUUUCUGUUGUGACAUCUAUUUGUGUUAGGACUGGGAACGUCUGUCAGACUGAUGGCUCCAGAGAAUUUCAAGUAAUCUUUAUAAUGUACGGAUAGAGCCACAUAUAAGAGUCAAGCAGACUCUUACCUAGCCAUUACACAAGCCUAUUGCUGAAAGUUAAAUAAAUCCAAACUGAAAGAAGAUCAUGAGUAUCAAUUUCUAAUUCCUGAUUUGCAAGAAUAGACUGCAGGGAGAUGCUUUCACAUGGAAAUCCAGAUAGUAGCAUAGUCUGGUAAAACAUUCACAGCUCUGUUGGUAGUAACCAUGAGGGGAUAUUAAUACUGGCUUUCCUGAUGUCCAAAGUAACUUAAAUUAGGAGUCUAAGACUCUGUAUCCUAACAGAGAAGUAAACAUAAAGGAGCUUUGGAAUACUGAAGGUGGUAAGUGUGACUUAAGCAAGGUCUCUAAAGUUAGUGGUGUGACCAUCCCUGUGGUGUCUGUGGCAGAAAAGUGCUUCCCAUCAGGGAAACAGAGCUAACUAGCAAGUCUGUGGGAAGUUUAUGAUGUAUAAAUUUCAACUUGUUUCCUCUUUUGCAGGCAGAAAAGCAAAAAGAAGAAGGAUGGUUUGCAUUGUCGAUGCAUAUUAUGUAAAGGAAGCUGCACUCGAGUACUAUGGUUUAUUUAUUUUAAAAGCUUUCCUACAAAUCACAUUUCUAUCGCUGUAGUCUCCCUCUCCAGAUGUACAGUUUAAUUCUGAAGUGCUUUCCUGUGAAUUUAAAAAGGUCAAUAAUGCUUACUGUGUUUGUGCCCUACAGAGUGCCGUAGGAAGUCCUGGGGAUGAGUUUCCAGAACAGACACUGCUGUAACAUAACUCCUCUUUGCUGAAUAAGUCUUCCACAAAUUUGUAAGCGGGCUGGUGUAGCAAUGAGCUGUUAUUAUAACUGUGGGUUGUACUACAUGUAUAGGUUGUGUUACCUAUGCUGAAGAAAGAAGAUUGCAGAAAAUGUUUGAGAAACUUGCAGUUUCUGGAGCACGUAUUUGCACAAGAUAAGGGAUUGAAAAAAAUGGGGAAGCUGAGAUGAGGGACUGCACUUACAUGCCCAAAAGCAAUGUGGGGAUCGGGAAGCCAGUCUGCUCCUGCUGGAUAAGAAUUUACUUUGGAAAUUACUUGCUCCUUCUGUGCUUUAUAGUUGCCCCCCAGAAUGUUGUUUUCUGUGCAGUUAACGUAUCAAGGAUUGCUCCUGAACUUGAGGAUUGCUUUUUUAAAAAAUGAAGUAUUUUUUAUAACAAGCAUAACAUGACUACUGGAAGCUGAAUUGAGAAUCUCCACCUGUUACAUACUGAAGUAUCAUCUCUGAUACAACAGAUAACUGAUUACUAACUUCAGGAAGAGAAGAAGGUCCACACUCUUGCCAUCUUUUCUGGUUCACCACCUUCCCACGUACCUGCACUCAAUAAAUGCAGGUGUAUUUUGGAUGUCCCCAGUUGCUCUUCACCAAAAACUUGAUAUACUGAAAGGCUCUGGGAAGAUUAUUCUGCAAAGGAAAAGGGUGAGGGGGAAGAAAGAAAUGGGGGUGUGAAGCCCCACGGUGUGCUCAGUGGCUCUCCCCUGACAGUCCUGUUGCUAAGGAGCUCCAGAAAACAGGAGAGCGUGGCUGUGGAACCAGAGGGCUCCAGGUAGUGGGGCUGCUGGCAUCUGGGGACACGGCAGGCAGCAAGUGUCCUCCCUGGCAUGCUGCUCACGUGCAUGCACCGUACCUUCAGCAGAAAGUCUGAGUGGGCUGCUUCCCCACGUCAAAGGUGAAUGAGCCACGGGGAACCUCCUUGUCUCUGUCCACGUGCUGCAUGCAUUGGUGUACAGGCAUUUCAUGGGGGCGAGCUGAGCAUGCCAAUUUCAUCUCGGGGGGGUGGGAGGCCUCCCGGUCUUCAUCAGUAUUAGAGCGCUGCCCCACCCCCCUUUGAAUCUAGUUUAAAGCUCUCCAGAUGAGCUCUGCCAAUUCCCAUCCCAGAACCCUUCGGCCCCUGUGAGAUAAACCUUUCCCAUGUAUUAUUACUGUUAGGCCAGGUGUCUUAUAAAACCAGCCAUUGCUUUGCUGAGAACCUAAAGCCCUGUCUGUAGCACCAGUCUCAUAGCCAAGCAUUUAUGGACUGGAUCCUUCUGUUCCAUCUGCAGUGGAAUUCCUAGGUCACAGUGUGAGCCAGUACAUGAGAAUGUGAGUGCCUGGAGUGGGAGAGCCUACAUCCACCCCUUCCUCUUCCCCCCAUCUCAGAGGUGGUUCAGUGGGUGCGUAUGCAGUCUGAGUCUGCGCACGGGUUUCCCCCAGCCCCCUUUUGCUGCUUUCUCUCAGUGUGCCAGAGGUCAAACUGGAGUGGGCUGCAUUCCACAGCUCACCUUUUUUUCCAGGCUGUUGCUGAGAGGGGUGAGUUGGUUCCUCUUUCUUUGAUAUCUUGUUCUGUGGCGCAUGUGUCUCAAAUAAAGGCUCUGUUACCGCC